UAUAGUUAGCCAAUAAGGGACACCGGGUGAUUAGGAGUCCAGAAUGGACAAGGCCAUGGUGGGCAAAUUAGUCAGGACAUCAGGGUACACCCUACUCUUAAUGAAAGAUGCCAGGAAUCUUUUAUAGCCACAGAGAGUCAGGACCUCGGUUUAACAUCUCAUCCGAAGGUCAACACCAUUUUUACAGCAAGGUGUCCCCCCCAUCACUGCACUGGGGCACUGGGAUCCACGCUCAGAGCACAGGGUAGAUGCGCCAUGCUGGCCUCAUCGGCUCCUCUUCCAGCAGCAAUCCAAGCUUUUCCCAGAUUUUCUCCAAUCCAGAUACUGUCGGGGCCCAAACAUGGACGACCUGUUCUGAAGUGCAUGUGCUUUGGCUACUGGAGUGGAAGGAGAUAAAGAGCAUUCACUUGUUUUGUGAUUGUCUUGAGAUUGGUCGUGUACACUGGAAAGGAUGUUGGUAAGGAACAAAAAGAAAAUCCUUUAUUUGAACCCGAGGGUGUGUUGGGUGACAUUAUGUCUGAGAGGUUCAGGGCACAGUGGCACCCCCUUGUGGUUACAACAUGAACAUCGGUAACUUUGUAGAAGUUUCCACUGCUCUAAUUUUUUGCAUGUAUCACGUCGUGAGCUUUCGAUUGAGACAAAUGGUCAGGGUCCUAGCUCCAGUUGUUCACGAGUAAUUGCGUGCCAGACACACACGACCCUUAGCGCUUUACAUAAGGAGAUUGUCCUGUCUGUAUGGUUGUAUGUGACAAAUGAAAUUUGAUUUAAUUUUGACAGGAAACAUUUUGUUGUGACUAUUGCAGCUAAAGAAAGGGGCUGCAACCAAACUAUGGGGGCAAUUACUUUUUCACAUAGGUGAAUAUGGAGGAAAUGGAAAACUUGAAUAAAGGAAGUCCUGAUUAAAAACAAAACCCUAUUGUGUGUUGCCAUUCUCUAAGGUGGCAUUUUGUCAUUCGUUGUGUAGAAUUAGUGGAUGUUGUCCAUUCAUUUUCUGCUGCUUAUCCAGGUGUGGGUCGUGGGGGCAGCGCUCUUUCCUGCCAACUCCUUCAACUCCUCCAUGGGGAUUUACCAAGGUGUUCCCAGGCUGGUUGAGCGAUGUAAUCUUUCCAGUGUGUCCUGGGUCUACCACAAGAUCUCUCCUCCCUUUGGUUGGACAUGCCAAAAACAUCUCCAUAUUGAGGUGUCCAGGAGGCAUCCUAACCUCAACUGGCUCUCUUCGGUGUGGAGAAGCAGCGAAUGUCUUGCACUCCUCAUUAUUAACUCUAAGGCUGAGCCCAUACACCCUGUGGAGGAAGCUCAUUUCUUCCACUUGGGUCCGUGAUCUUUUCCUUUUGUUCGACACAAAGCUUGUAACCCACAGGUGAGGACAGGGACGUAAGAUCGAUGGGUAAAUCCAGACCUUUGCCUAUCCCCUCAGCUCUCUCUUCACCACAAAUGACUGGAUGUUGUUCAGAUCCACCAAUCGAUCUUCCGCUCCCUUCUUCCCGCACUUGUGAGCAAGACCCCCAGAUAUUUAUACUCCUUCGCAUGAGGUAGCACCUCCUCUGCAAACUGGAGCAGUCCAUCCUCUCCCUCAUUAAAACCCUGACCUCAGACUUGGAGGUGCUGAUCCUCCUCCCAGCCACUUUACACAGUUGGCACAUCUUGAGGUCGCAGCCUGAUGAAGCCAGCCGGAGCACGUCAUCUGUAAAAAGCAGAGAUGUUAUCCGUUAUCCCGAGGUCACCAAGCUGGACACCCAGCACUUCGUGGCUGUGCCUAGAAGUUGCAUAUUGGGAAAGGGCGGGGGGUGAAUACUUUUUCACAGCACUGUCCUCGUUUUCCUGUUUCUGAGUGAGUCACUGGGGUAAAUGAAUCAGCGAUCUUGUGGUUUUACAUGACAGCGCGCGAGCCACUGGGCCACAGUCCACGCCAGGCAUGUGACCGUAAGUGGGGAAGAUCGGUGAGGGCAGCCAAAGGCGCCAUCGGCCUGUCGUACAUUUUGGCUAAAAAUACAAGAGUGCAGCUUUGCAGGCUUCUGAGGAAACGCUCCAUCUGAGGGAGGGCCACGUCUGGUCUAACCUCAGACCUAAAAAGCAGAUGGGAUGGGAAGUGCGAUGGGAUGAUGUCGCAACCGGCAGCAGUCAUGCGUUCUUAGUAAAAAUGUCGAGGCCAGCACAUCUAGGACUGUCACUUGUCACGUUAUCAUAGCCACUCAUAUCUCUAAAGAUGUCCAAAUGUCCGCUUCAACAAGAUGACUACGUGCUUUGCUCCAAACUCCCACGAGCCUGAUGAAAUCUGUUGGAUUUGUUUCAUUGAGAGCUUUAAGAACGUUUAACUCCUGUAAAUCAUCGUAUCUUCUUUGCUUUGUCUUUUUAGGGCAUGGGACCCUUGGACCAAUUUGAAGCGGCAUGCUUGACCAUCAUUCAGACCCUGCCACUUACGGUCCACCAUGACUGCGUUUUCUUCAACAAGUGUUUCACGUCUGUGAAAAAAGACAAGCAGCAACUUUGAUCUUCUUGGGACCUCUUUUCCAGGU